rnacentral:rRNA from 1 species
GUAGGGAAUAUUGGUAAUGGGCGAAAGCCCGAACCAGCAACGCCGCGUGUGCGAUGAAGGCCUUCGGGUCGUAAAGCACUUUUUGAGAAGAUGAUGAAGGACAGUACUCUCAGAAUAAGUCUCGGCUAACUACGUGCCAGCAGCAGCGGUAACACGUAGGAGACAAGCGUUAUCCGGAUUUACUGGGCGUAAAGCGCGUGCAGGCGGUUUGGAAAGUUGGAUGUGAAAGCUCCUGGCUUAACUGGGAGAGGUCAUUCAAAACUUCCAGACUAGAGAAUGGUAGAGGAAGGUGGAAUUCCGGGUGUAGUGGUGAAAUGCGUAGAUAUCCGGAGGAACACCAGUGGCGAAAGCGGCCUUCUGGACCAUUUCUGACGCUCAGACGCGAAAGCUAGGGUAGCAAACGGGAUUAGA